CUGAAAGCAUCUAAGCGUGAAGCCCCCUCCAAGAUGAGACUUCCCACAGCGCAAGCUGGUAAGACCCCUCAUAGACGAUGAGGUUGAUAGGUUCGAUGUGGAAGCGCGGUAACGCGUGGAGCUGACGAAUACUAAUCGGUCGAGGACUUAUCCAC
rnacentral:rRNA from 1 species